rnacentral:rRNA from 1 species
AUACGUAGGGUGCAAGCGUUAAUCGGAAUUACUGGGCGUAAAGCGUGCGCAGGCGGUUUUGUAAGACAGUGGUGAAAUCCCCGGGCUCAACCUGGGAACUGCCUUUGGGACUGCAAGGCUAGAGUACGGCAGAGGGGGAUGGAAUUCCGCGUGGAGCAGUGAAAUGCGUAGAUAUGCGGAGGAACACCGAUGGCGAAGGCAAUCCCCUGGGCCUGUACUGACGCUCAUGCACGAAAGCGUGGGGAGCAAACAGGAUUAGAUACCCUGGUAGUCCACGCCCUAAACGAUGUCAACUGGUUGUUGGGUCUUCAUUGACUCAGUAACGAAGCUAACGCGUGAAGUUGACCGCCUGGGGAGUACGGCCGCAAGGUUGAAACUCAAAUGAAUUGGCGGGG